AUGGUGGGGAAGGAUUUGGUGCUGCAACGGAAUGCUCCUGUGGAUAUCCGUGAGAUUGCUGCCAAGGCCACGCUGCGGGAGGUGCGGCAGAAUGGGCACACCUAUGUGGAGCUCCGGCGCGUCGGGAAGCGCGUCAUCUUCUUCUGCACCAUCUGCCUCACCGAGUGCUUCAGCGACAAUGUGCUGUUUGACCACCUCAAGGGGAAUCUGCAUUCACGGCGGUAUGCCGAGGCCAAGGUCACCCUGUUUGGGCCCAUGCCAUGGCCGUUCAAUGAUGGUGUGCUCUUCUUCAAUAACUCACGCGAGAAUGAUCCGCUCUUGCUGGACUCAAGCUCGCAUAACACCAGCGAACUUGCUCUGGUUCCCCAUCCUGACUUUGCAGGGAAUGGCAUUGAGGUGACAUCAAGGUUGAGAGAUGGUUCGAGCUCCCAUAAUGGCGCAAAAGGCUCAUUCAGUGGUGCAAAUGGAUGUCUGAAUGGUAGAUCUUCUGCCAUAACUGAAGAUAGUGCUCUGUCAAACCGCAAUGAAGCCGAUGGUCCGCUUGUUAUUCCUGGUGUGUUGAUAAAGGAUGUUGUGUUGAAUUUGCCUGUGCAUCUUCUGGGUUAUGGAAACAUUGCAUACAAGAUUGCUGAAGCUAGCGAAGGUCGCAAGAAGAUCAGCAAAAUCUGGUGUGCUUGGGUAGGAGAAGAAGCCUCACUGGGCUCUGAGGCAAGUAACAUCUAUGAACAAUCUGGUUUUGCCAUAGUCAACUUCUCUUAUGCAUAUGAGUUGGGAAGGAAGUGGCCUUCUGAAGAUCAGGACCUUCCCAUCUCUGCUGGAUCUUUCUUUGUCAUUGAUGAGGCUGGACAUCGUGGAAAGCGAAGGAAGAAGUCAUUUUCUGAUCAAGAAGCAUCUUCAGAAGAGUCUAAUGGCCAGACCCAUGACAGCAGAAGUCAAGCUAUUGUUACUGGUUCCCCAACAGGUUCCUCAUGCAAUCUUCAACUCAGCCCCUUGUCCAGCAAGUCUAUGAGGAGGGAGCUGAGGAAGCAGAAGCGACUUGCUGCUGAGAAAGUUUGUGAUAUUUGUGGGCGAUCAAUGCUUCCUGGAAAGGAUGUCGCCACCUUGCUGAACUGCAGCACAGGAAACCUAGCUUGCAGCAGUAGAAACUCCAGUGGGGCUUUUCAUCUAUUUCACACUUCAUGCUUACUGCACUGGACAAUUUUGUGCCAAUAUGAGGUGCUGGCUGAUCAGAUUGCAAAGAUGGGAAAGAGCAAACGAGGAAGAAAGGCGAAAACAGCGCCAAAGAGCAGAAUAAUGUCCAUCCUAUGCCCAGAAUGUCAGGGUACAGGGAUUCACGUCGAGGGAGAUGAGCUCGAAAAGCCAACUAUUUCGUUGUCUGAGAUGUUUCGGUACAAGCUGAAGUCCAUCGAAGCCCACAAGGCGUGGAUGAAGACCCCUGAGGUGCUGGAGAACUGUUCCACUGGGCUCCAUUUCCCUGCGGAACAUCUGGAGAACGCCGAGGAGCAGGUGAUGCCACUGAAGUCGCUUCCUUUCUUUGCAGCUGAUGGAUAUAUGGCAUAA
rnacentral:rRNA from 1 species